GGUUUUUGCAAAAGUAUCUUUGCGCUUGGGGCAAUGACGCAGCUAGUGAGGUAAUAACCGAGGCGCGUCAAUUGCUGGUUGAAAACUAUUUCCAAACCCCCUCCUCGGCCUGGGCUUGACCUUGGCCGUCGAGAAUUUCUGGAAGGGCUCUCUUUCGAGGGUAAAGCCCUACAAUUCUUAGUCUAAAUUUUAAUCUUCAUUAUAUAAAUAAUUAUUAAUAUUAAAUUGAUUAUACCCAAAUGUAACGAUGUAAAUCAUAAUCUCUCGAUGUUGGUUUAAUUUUGUAGAUUAUGCUAUAAAUAUGCUCAAUUUGAUAGCUAAAUAAAAUUGGCGUCACAACUCAGAAUUGAAAAGAAAAAGUUUAAGAAAAAGUUUGUUUUGAAUUAUUCAAGCCCAUACCAGAACUGUCUAUAAUCAAAGGUAAAUUGCUAUGAUAGUUAUAUAAUGAUGCACAUUUUAAUCAUAUUGUUGGGUUGUUUUAAUUUUUAAUCCUUAAUUAUGUUGGGGAGUUGCUAAAAAUUGGAUAUUGAAAGUUAGUUAGUAAUCUGGUUAUAUUUUAUAUUUGUAUUGUCUUGGAGUUCAUUAAUGCACACAACCUGUUUGAUGAAAUGCCCAGCUGAAGGUGGACUAAAUUUUGGGUUGAUUGAAUCAUUACACUUACAGAAAGUGUAAUUCUUUUGGUAAAUCAUCAUGGAAUUGGGGCAAUAUUUUCUAGAUGGUAAUCCGGAUGCUGUCGAGUUCUGUCCUCAUGACGGGUUUCUGAACAUCCUAGCUGUUUCUACAUAUACUUUACAAGAGGGUGAUCAGCCAAGUCGAUUGGGGAGCAUUUCAUUGUUUGAUGUCAAUGGUAGUAGCUGCAGUCUCGACCGUAUUGGUAGUGUUGAAACUGCUGGUAUCUUUGAUAUUAAAUGGAACCCGGUUGGGGGUGGCGCGAGUCCUUUGCUUGCUCAAGCUGAUGCUGAUGGGUGCUUGAGGAUUCAUGGUCUUGAGUGUUCUUCAAAUGGAACAAGUUUGACAGGUUUGAUAAUCUCUUCUACUUCUGAAGGGGCCUUACUUAAAGAGAGCUGUGGCAUUCAUAUCAGCUCCUCGAUGUGCCUUUGCUUAGAUUGGAACCCCUCAGCCAUGUCACUAGCAGUUGGGCUUUCUGAUGGCUCUGUCUCUGUUGCCUCUCUCACAGAAUCAGAACUCAUUGAAGAUCAACAAUGGAAAGAUCAUGACUUUGAGGUUUGGGCUGCUUCCUUUGACACCCACCAGCAAUCUAUUUUAUAUACUGGUUCAGAUGACUGCAAAUUUCUUGGCUGGGAUUUAAGAGACGGUUCUCCGAUGCCAGCAUUCAAAAACUCAAAGUCUCACAAAAUGGGUAUUUGUUGUAUUGUCAAGAACCCUAAUGACCCGUAUUCUUUACUUACUGGUAGCUAUGAUGAACACUUGAGGGUCUGGGAUGUCAGAUCAAUCUCAAAGCCCGUGAAUGAAACUUCUAUUGGUCUAGGGGGUGGAGUUUGGAGGAUCAAAUAUCAUCCUGUUAUUUCAGGCCUCGUUUUGGCAGCUUGUAUGCAUAAUGGAUUUGCCAUUGUCAAGACAACCGGUGAGAUUCCUGAGGUGAUCGAGACAUAUGACAAGCAUGGCUCGCUUGCCUAUGGAGCAGAUUGGCGGAGACACAGCUCAGAUGAGGAAGGGAAGAGGGAGGGUAAUGUGGUGGCUACUUGCUCAUUUUAUGAUCGGCUGGUUCGAGCGUGGAUCCCAGAGUCAGAUAUUCAUGCCUGAGGCUGUAAUUCUGAUUGUAUCAAAACUGGACCUUUUAACUUUCAAGUCAUCUUAGACUAGGAGCUUACGUUUCUCUGUGCAUACUACCAAGAGAAUUGAACCAUAUUUCAUCAGAUUGAUUGCAAUGUGAAGCAUACUUACUACGAAAAUUGCUCACAUAAACUUGACGGAUGCAAGGUUGAAAUUUUUGCACAAAUU